rnacentral:lncRNA from 1 species
CAAGUAGAAGGGAUGCAUUGUCUUCGUAGCUGUUCAUGUCAACAAUGUUCAGAUUUGAAAUGCUUUUAGUGUAUAUAUAUGUGAUGGGAUUUGGGUACGACCUUUAGAGCAUUUUAAAUUGACUAAUUUUUUUAGGUUUCUCAAAUUUUUCAACAAAUUAAUUUAUUUUCUUUAUUUAGUUGCCUACAGAAACCAUGUUCCAAAUUUAAACUGGCAUAAAAUAACCUCACGUAUGAGUGUUGCAUUUUUGAAUGUUUCUAAACCCUUAACCUUUUGACCUUCUUUCAGAUUUAAAAUCUAUCCAAAUUUCAAUCAACUCAGAAUUCUUCACAAAAUCAAAACAUAUUGUUUAAUCCUAAAACCUCUCUUAGGAUAAAUCCCUCUAUCCCAUCUAGCCCUGCC